ACCAUCAAUGAUGAUCACAAGGGACUUAAUACUGACACCUUUGAUGUCAACUUAAAAUCUUUUCUGAUGUGG